UUGUUAAAAAUAAAUUUUACUGAAGCAAUUUACAAAAGGCGUAGGUUUUAAUCUAGUUAUUAUUGGCCCUAUACAUGGUAUAAGUUAUACGCUUGUAAGACACGCAGAAGUAUGUUAGACCGAGAACGUUUCAAACAGCCCUCGUAU